UUUUGUUGCUUUAGGGACCUA
rnacentral:piRNA from 1 species